rnacentral:RNase_P_RNA from 2 species
UCCGGGGGAAGCUCGCCGAUGAGGCCACACGCGGGGUGCAUGUCACCCGCCCUCGCCUCUGGGAAGGUCUGAGACUGGGGCCCGCGCCGCCCCAGCAGGGCGCCGCCCGCGCGGGCGGGUGAGCCCCCAGCCAUGGGGCCCGGCCGGGGCCGCUCCGGGCAGGAGAAGCGGCCGCGCCCCGGCGCCCCGCGGAUGCCCAGCCCCGGCCCGGCUUGGGAACGACUCACGGCCGGCAGCACGAGUGCAAUGGGCCGAGGCAGCGCCGCCCGCGGGGCUGCAACCCAAUUCAGACUACUCUCCCCUGGG